rnacentral:misc_RNA from 1 species
AACAAAACAAAAGCAAUACAAAAACAACUCCAUAACCAUAAAAUGAAGAAAUCCAUGCAAACAUGCAAUUACAUGGGGCAAAGUCUUAUUUCUCAGCAGGUAAAAUAGAGAAUUAUGACAGCAAGUAAAUACAGGAUGUAGAUAGAAGUGUAUUUUACAAAAGAUUAUCAAUGGGGUAAAGCCAACCUGUUUCCAGUCCAGUUGUGGAAA